rnacentral:miRNA from 1 species
UUCUGCGAGACGUGGAACAGGC